UCCUACGGGAGGCAGCAGUGGGGAAUCUUAGACAAUGGGCGCAAGCCUGAUCUAGCCAUGCCGCGUGUGUGAUGAAGGUCUUAGGAUCGUAAAGCACUUUCGCCAGGGAUGAUAAUGACAGUACCUGGUAAAGAAACCCCGGCUAACUCCGUGCCAGCAGCCGCGGUAAUACGGAGGGGGUUAGCGUUGUUCGGAAUUACUGGGCGUAAAGCGUACGUAGGCGGAUUGGAAAGUUGGGGGUGAAAUCCCAGGGCUCAACCCUGGAACUGCCUCCAAAACUAUCAGUCUAGAGUUCGAGAGAGGUGAGUGGAAUUCCAAGUGUAGAGGUGAAAUUCGUAGAUAUUUGGAGGAACACCAGUGGCGAAGGCGGCUCACUGGCUCGAUACUGACGCUGAGGUACGAAAGUGUGGGGAGCAAACAGGAUUAGAUACCCUGGUAGUCCACACCGUAAACGAUGAAUGCCAGUCGUCGGGCAGUAUACUGUUCGGUGACACACCUAACGGAUUAAGCAUUCCGCCUGGGGAGUACGGUCGCARGAUUAAAACUCAAAUGAAUUGACGG
rnacentral:rRNA from 1 species